AAUAAGUGCAGUUUUGGCACUGUUCAUGUCUAACGUUUGACCGUUCGUCUUAUUUGAAAAAAAAUUGUGAUUAGUAUUUUUAUUGUUAUUACAUGAUAAAAUAUGAGUAGUACUUUAUGUGUGACUAAUUUUCAUAAAUUUUUCAAAUAAGACGGACGGUCAAAACGCUAAACACGGAUAUCUAUGGCUGCAUUUAUU
rfam:Oryza meridionalis cultivar OR44 (W2112) chromosome 5, whole genome shotgun sequence.